UACAGAGGUCUCAAGCGUUGUUCGGAUUCAUUGGGCGUAAAGGGUGUGUAGGUGGCGCGCUAAGUCGGGUGUGAAAUUUCGGAGCUUAACUCCGAAACUGCAUUCGAUACUGGCGUGCUUGAGGACUGGAGAGGAGACUGGAAUUCAUGGUGUAGCAGUGAAAUGCGUAGAGAUCAAUGGAGGAAGACCAGUGGCGAAGGCGGGUCUCUGGACAGUUCCUGACACUGGAGAACACGGAAGGCCAGGGGAGCAAACAGG
rnacentral:rRNA from 1 species